UGAGCUUCCAAACAGCAGAUGGCGCUGUCUUAGAUCUGCUGUGCUGAAUCUGAGGCGGCUCCGGUCUGUCCUUUACAUGAUGAGGUUUAUCUCUGUGUUUAACGGCUCUGACUCUCCCCCAGGACAAGACGAGGAGGAAAUGUCAAAAAGAAAAGAACAGCCUCUGGCUCUGAGCCUCCAGAGGGCAGCACUGAGCCUCCAGAGGGCAGCACUGAGCCACAGCUCUAUGGGACAAAACGCAGAUCCACAGCCUCAGUGUCCGCUCUGUCCAUGAAGAGUGACUGGUCUAAAGGCCACGUUCCAAACUUCAGUCCUGAACCUGCUCCAGACUCACGAAGCAGAUCCACAGCCUCAGUGUCCGCUCUGUCCAUGAAGAGUGACUGGUCUAAAGGCCACGUUCCAAACUUCAGUCCUGAACCUGCUCCAGACUCACGAAGCAGAUCUACAGCCUCAGUGUCCGCUCUGUCCAUGAAGAGUGACUGGUCUAAAGGCCACGUUCCAAACUUCAGUCCUGAACCUGCUCCAGACUCACGAAGCAGAUCUACAGCCUCAGUGUCCGCUCUGUCCAUGAAGAGUGACAGGUCUAAAGAGUUCCCUCCAGAGUUCAGUGGUGAACCUGCUCCAGACUCACAAGAAACAGAGUCAGAGCAGGACGCCUGGCCUCAGUGUGGAGACACAGGCAACAGUCCUGAUCAGUGGGUUCAAGGCCCUGCACCAGGUGAGUCUGCUCAGUCUGAGACUCAUGAACUACAGCAGGGAAUAAGAGACCUGUUCAUCAACAUUAACAGGUG
rnacentral:lncRNA from 1 species